rnacentral:rRNA from 1 species
AUAUUGCACAAUGGGGGAAACCCUGAUGCAGCAACGCCGCGUGAAGGAAGACGGUUUUCGGAUUGUAAACUUCUAUCAAUAGGGAAGAAAGAAAUGACGGUACCUAAAUAAGAAGCCCCGGCUAACUACGUGCCAGCAGCCGCGGUAAUACGUAGGUGGCAAGCGUUGUCCGGAUUUACUGGGUGUAAAGGGCGUGCAGCCGGGCCGGCAAGUCAGAUGUGAAAUCUGGAGGCUUAACCUCCAAACUGCAUUUGAAACUGUUGGUCUUGAGUACCGGAGAGGUUAUCGGAAUUCCUUGUGUAGCGGUGAAAUGCGUAGAUAUAAGGAAGAACACCAGUGGCGAAGGCGGAUAACUGGACGGCAACUGACGGUGAGGCGCGAAAGCGUGGGGAGCAAACA